GAAAUCUUGAUAGCGGCAGACUGGUGAGGAACACGUGAGUAAUUUACCUCUAAGUCGGGAAUAGCCUUACGAAAGUGAGGGUAAUACCCGAUGUGUUCAUCCUGGCACAAGCCGGGAUGAGUAAAGAUAGCCGCAAGGUUAUUGUUUAGAGCUGAGCUCGCGUUUUAUCAGCUAGUUGGUAGGGUAAUGGCCUACCAAGGCUAAGACGGAUAGGUGGCCUGAGAGGGUGGUCACCCACACGGGGACUGAGACACUGCCCCGACUCCUACGGGAGGCUGCAGUCGAGGAUCUUUAGCAAUGGGCGAAAGCCUGACUAUGCGACGCCGCGUGAGGGAUGAAGGAUUUCGGUUCGUAAACCUCUUUCGAUGGGAAAGAAACCUUUCAUGGAAACAUGAAAGCUGACGGUACCCAGAGAAGAAGCCACGGCCAACUCCGUGCCAGCAGCCGCGGUAAUACGGGGGUGGCGAGCGUUACUCGGAUUUAUUGGGUGUAAAGGGCAGGUAAGUGUUCCGUUAAGUUAGAAGUGAAAUCCUUUGGCUCAACCAAAGAACUGCUUCUAAAACUGGCGGGAUUGAGGCUGAAAGAGGAGAGUGGAAUUCCCGGUGUAAGGGUGAAAUCUGUAGAUAUCGGGAGGAACACCAGUGGCGAAAGCGACUCUCUGGUUCAGUCCUGACACUGAGCUGCGAAAGCUAGGGGAGCAAACAGGAUUAGAUACCCUGGUAGUCCUAGCCGUAAACUAUGAGCACUAGGUGUUGGGGAGUAAUCUUCAGCGCCGCAAGAUAACUCGUUAAGUGCUCCACCUGGGGACUACGGCCGCAAGGCUAAAACUCAAAGGAAUUGACGGGGGCUUACACAAGCGGUGGAGCAUGUGGUUCAAUUCGACGCAACGCGAAGAACCUUACCUGGGUUUGACAUCCCGAGAAUCCCUUGGAAACAGGGGAGUGCCUCUUCCGAGGAGCUCGGUGACAGGUGCUGCAUGGCUGUCGUCAGCUCGUGUCGUGAGAUGUUGGGUUAAGUCCCGCAACGAGCGCAACCCUCGCCUUUAGUUGCCAGCAUUGAGUUGGGCACUCUAAAGGGACUGCCGGUGUUAAACCGGGAGGAAGGUGAGGA
rnacentral:rRNA from 1 species